ACAGGUGAGUACCCAGGCAUGCUGUGGGCCGGGAGGUCUCCUGCACGGGCACCUUCCACGCCACAAGCCACGCAGGGCCCACCGCUGUCUUCCACUUAGAGAAGGAAUCACCUGCAGAUUUUUAAAUAUUUUCUCGUUAGAUUUUGCCACACUGAGGGGCGUCCCCGCAGUGGUCACGGGGUGAAGCAAGUUCCUGUUGGUGGGCCAUGUGCCGUCUGAGAGCAGGUGAGCCUGUGGCCUUCAGGGAUGGCACUGGGCAGUGCCAGCAGCAGGGCCUUCCAGGUCCCCAGAGUGGGAGGGAAAUCUUUAUGAGAAAGAAAUUCGCUAUGUCCUGCAGGGGAUAUCCCAGCUGGGCUCAGAGUUAUGUG
rnacentral:lncRNA from 1 species